rnacentral:lncRNA from 1 species
AUUAGCGAAACGUCACAGAAGUGUUGUUACGGCCUCUCCAUUCUCGUAGGCAACAUUCAGUGAUUGUAUUAUCUCAAUGUGACUGCCCAAAGAACUCAAAGUAGGAAAUUUCAAACUUUGGCAGCAGUAGACUGUAAACCCAUAACUACAUAAAUUGUUGUACACAAGCUCUUCUUAGAUUUUCUUCAAUCUAAAUUUCUGCCCACAACUAUCAUUUAAAGGUUGGUUUUUAAGUGUUCUGGGGUUUCUAAAUUGUCAGAAGCAGACAAAAAAUACUGUGUACAGCCUUAGGAGAACUGAGGAUGGUUGAAGACUGAUUUUUGUUUUCAUAUAAACUUGUUCACUCGUCUCAUCUUGGUUUAUUCACAAAAAGGCUCCAAAAAGUCUGGUGUGAGAAGAUUGCAAACAAUAUAAGAUUGUACUAUCUACUUGAAGUUGAUCUUCAGAUCUCUGUUUAGUCAUCAACUGUUUCAACUAAGCCCACCAACUUUAAUCUAGUUCUAAACUAGUUUAUCGAAUGUAAGUCACCACUACUUUUUUCUUUUAGUCAAGAACCCAUCCCUGCCUUAAAAGCUGGGUUACAUUAUUUAUUUAAUUUAAUUUGUUUAAGGUCAUAAAGUACGCCUGUAUCUCUGCUAAUAUUUUGUGAUACCCGCAUUUUGUUAAUUUUUACUUGAG